rfam:Oryza sativa Japonica Group DNA, chromosome 8, cultivar: Nipponbare, complete sequence.
AAUACGUCAUUUGUGGGUUUAUGGGUUCAACGUUUAAUUAUCUGUCUUAUUUGAAAUUCUUUUAUGGUUAAUAUUUUUGUUGUUAGUAGAUGAUAAAAUAUGAAUAGUAUUUUAUGCGUGACUUAUUUCUUUAAUUUUUUUAUAUAAGACGGAUGAUUAAACGUUGUAGAAAGAACCGACAGAUAAACUUAUU